rnacentral:rRNA from 1 species
AACGAACGCUGGCGGCAGGCUUAACACAUGCAAGUCGAGCGCCCCGCAAGGGGAGCGGCAGGCGGGUGAGUAACGCGUGGGAACGUACCUUUUGGUUCGGAACAACUCCGGGAAACUGGAGCUAAUACCGGAUAAGCCCUAACGGGGAAAGAUUUAUCGCCGAAAGAUCGGCCCGCGUCUGAUUAGCUAGUUGGUGAGGUAACGGCUCACCAAGGCGACGAUCAGUAGCUGGUCUGAGAGGAUGAUCAGCCACACUGGGACUGAGACACGGCCCAGACUCCUACGGGAAGCAGCAGUGGGGAAUAUUGGACAAUGGGCGCAAGCCUGAUCCAGCCAUGCCGCGUGAGUGAUGAAGGCCUUAGGGUUGUAAAGCUCUUUUGUCCGGGAAGAUAAUGACUGUACCGGAAGAAUAAGCCCCGGCUAACUUCGUG